rnacentral:rRNA from 1 species
UACGUAGGGGGCAAGCGUUGUCCGGAUUUAUUGGGCGUAAAGAGCGUGUAGGCGGCCACACAGGUCAGCUGUGAAAACUCGAGGCUCAACCUCGAGACGUCGGUUGAAACCGUAUGGCUAGAGUCCGGAAGAGGCGAGUGGAAUUCCUGGUGUAGCGGUGGAAUGCGCAGAUAUCAGGAGGAACACCAAUAGCGAAGGCAGCUCGCUGGGACGGUAUUGACGCUGAGGCACGAAAGCGUGGGGAGCAAACAGG